CGAGGCAGGAGGGAAAGGCAGCAUGAUUCACAGACUGGAGGGUGACAGUGACCAGAGCAAGUUUAACCUUUUAAAGAGGAAGGAUCUGUUGCUUGGCUACCAGGCAACAAGGAAGGCUACUCAGAGAGGGGUCCCCACAAGGGAUGAGGGACAAGUUGCCUAACCCUGUGGCAGACGGCUCUGCUUCUCUUCAUGCCCCCGCUUCCUUUACCUACUCCUGCCUCCUCCCCACCUAUCAGAGUCACUGCCACCUCCCGGGAAGCUGAGAGGGUUUAUCAUCAAAUCAGGCUUUGUCAUAAAGAAAACAGAUUUAUUUUCCUCGCUUUGAGAAGGUGCUGACAGGAGCAGCGAGGGAAGGGGUGUUUUGUAUAUUGAAAGCCUUUCUCCCCCUGUGGCUAAAUCUCGCGCUAUUUUCUAAUUUACCUCAAAUGCUGCUCCUCCAGCCUGCCUCUCCAUACGCCCACGCUUUCAACCCCUACCUGUGAGCCUCUGCCCACCGGACCGGCUCACUUCUAGUCAUUCCUUCAUUCAAUGUAUUUCCCUUGUUCAGGAUGUAGAGGCCUUUCUUACAUGCCAGGGACUCCAGGUGCUGGAGAUGUGAGACAUACAGCAGGGCAA
rnacentral:lncRNA from 1 species